GCCAGUGUGGUGUGGUGGUAUGAGCACUGGACUAUGACUCUGGAAACCAGAGUUCGAUUCCCAGCUCAGCCA